AACGAACGCUGGCGGCAGGCUUAACACAUGCAAGUCGAGCGCCCCGCCAGGGGAGCGGCAGACGGGUGAGUAACGCGUGGGAAUCUACCCAGCUCUACGGAACAACUCCGGGAAACUGGAGCUAAUACCGUAUACGUCCUUCGGGAGAAAGAUUUAUCGGAGUUGGAUGAGCCCGCGUGGAAUUAGCUAGUAGGUGGGGUAAUGGCCUACCAAGGCGACGAUCCAUAGCUGGUCUGAGAGGAUAAUCAGCCACACUGGGACUGAGACACGGCCCAGACUCCUACGGGAGGCAGCAGUGGGGAAUAUUGGACAAUGGGCGAAAGCCUGAUCCAGCCAUGCCGCGUGAGUGAUGAAGGCCCUAGGGUUGUAAAGCUCUUUCACCGGUGAAGAUAAUGACGGUAACCGGAGAAGAAGCCCCGGCUAACUUCGUGCCAGCCGCCGCCGUAAUAC
rnacentral:rRNA from 1 species